CCCGACGAUGUCCAGAAGUCGAGGUCAUAGUUGGUGGUCACGGUGUGUCGUAAAAUAGUGGGCGUAAAGCGCAGGCAGGCAGUUCUUUAAGUCCUAUGUGAAAGCCCACGGGUCAACCGUGGGGGUGCAUUUGAAACUGGGGGACUUGAGUGCAGAAGAGGAAAGCGGAAUUCCACGUGUAGCGGUGAAAUGCGUAGAGAUGUGGAGGAACACCAGUGGCGAAGGCGGCUUUCUGGUCUGUAACUGACGCUGAGGCGCGAAAGCGUGGGGAGCAAACAGGAUUAGAUACCCGGUAGUC
rnacentral:rRNA from 1 species